GGGUGAGUAACGCGUGAGUAACCUGCCAUACAGUGGGGAAUAACACACCGAAAGGUGUGCUAAUACCGCAUGAUGUAUCGAGAUCGCAUGGUCUUGAUACCAAAGAUUUAUCGCUGUAUGAUGGGCUCGCGUCUGAUUAGAUAGUUGGUGAGGUAACGGCUCACCAAGUCGACGAUCAGUAGCCGGACUGAGAGGUUGAACGGCCACAUUGGGACUGAGACACGGCCCAGACUCC
rnacentral:rRNA from 1 species